rnacentral:rRNA from 1 species
GAUGAACGCUAGCGAUAGGCCUAACACAUGCAAGUCGAGGGGCAUCACAUGAAGUAGCAAUACGGAUGGUGGCGACCGGCGCACGGGUGAGUAACACGUAUGCAACCUGCCUUCAACAAGGGGAUAACCCGUUGAAAGACGGACUAAUACCCUAUAACACAGGGGUCCCGCAUGGGAAUAUUUGUUAAAGGACAACCGGUUGAAGAUGGGCAUGCGUUCCAUUAGCUAGUUGGCGGGGUAACGGCCCACCAAGGCAACGAUGGAUAGGGGAACUGAGAGGUUUAUCCCCCACACUGGUACUGAGACACGGACCAGACUCCUACGGGAGGCAGCAGUGAGGAAUAUUGGUCAAUGGACGGAAGUCUGAACCAGCCAUUCCGCGUGCAGGAAGAAGGUCCUAUGGACUGUAAACUGCUUUUAGCAGAGAAGAAACGCCUUCAUUUAUGAGGGUCUGACGGUAUCUGCGGAAUAAGCACCGGCUAACUCCGUGCCAGCAGCCGAC